GACCCGGAAAUUAAAUCGUUUGAUAUUUGAUAGCAGGACGCACGUUAAACUGCGCUACUGCACAGCACCAUCAUGAUCUCAGAAUGGGUCUCAUAUAUAAUGUUUUACCUGCUCGCUGCUGUUUUCAGUGCAUUUCUUGCAUAUUGUCUGUAUGUUAGACAUGUUCAUCAGAAAUAUGAUCAUAUACCUGGACCUCCAAGAGACAAUUUUCUGCUGGGGCAUAUACCAAGUUUCAAUAGAGUGAUGAAAUCGGGAAUCCUUCUACACGACUUAUUUCUCAAUGGGGAGAAAAAUAUGGCCCUGUUUACAGGAUGAACAGUUUUCAUUAUGUCGUCAUCAUGGUUCAUUGUCCUGAGGCUACAAAGACAAUCCUGAUGUCACCUAAGUAUCUCAAAGAUCCUUUUGUCUACAAACAGCUCUUUAACUUGUUUGGAAAAAGGUAUGUUUUGUAUUAUUAUUUAUUGUUUUUUGGAAGGUGAAUGGGAAACAAAAAGUACAUCACAAUAAUAAUAAUAAUAAUA